rnacentral:lncRNA from 1 species
UGUCCUUUUAGCAAUUUCUGCAAAUUCCUGGGAGUGAGUCCACUCCUAAGAAACAAUUAUAACUGUUUUCUUCCUCCAGGGGCUCCACCAUUGGAAGUGAAAUGAUGAAGAAGUUUAAUAGCCCUUGGGUGAAGAAGUGCAUCUUAGAAGCCCCUGUGUUUCUCUUCCUCAGCUAACAAACUAAUAGCAGAAGAACAAAGGCCAUAAAUAGUGCUGGUGUAACUCCCCCAGGGAGAGGGACUUGGUACUUCCGGAGAAGAUGCAGGUCAAUAAAAGAGGAUCGAACUCGGGACCUUGCACUUGCAAAGCAUGUGACAGAACCACUGGGCUACGUCCCCAGCCCCGAUGUUGGAAUCUUAAAGUAAGCAUUCUGGGAGGCUGAAGCAGGAAGAUUGCGAGUUUGAGCCCGGCCUGUGCAACUUAGCAAUUUAGUGGGACGCCGUCUCAAAGUAAAAAAUUUAAAAAGGGGCUGAGCAUAUAGGUCAGUGUGAAAGCGCUGGGUUGAACCCCCAGUACCACACAACAAAACAAAAAUGAAUACUUUGUUUCCCUCACUUCUCAGGCUCAGCCUUGCGCCCGAAGGUGACAAGUCACAGCUGGUCCCUCAAGAAGCAGGGAAGGAAGACAGGUGAC